rnacentral:rRNA from 1 species
GAUGAACGCUGGCGGCGUGCCUAAUACAUGCAAGUCGAGCGAACAGACGAGGAGCUUGCUCCUCUGACGUUAGCGGCGGACGGGUGAGUAACACGUGGAUAACCUACCUAUAAGACUGGGAUCACUUCGGGAAACCGGAGCUAAUACCGGAUAAUAUAUUGAACCGCAUGGUUCAAUAGUGAAAGACGGUUUUGCUGUCACUUAUAGAUGGAUCCGCGCCGCAUUAGCUAGUUGGUAAGGUAACGGCUUACCAAGGCAACGAUGCGUAGCCGACCUGAGAGGGGGGUCGGCCACACUGGAACUGAGACACGGUCCAGACUCCUACGGGAGGCAGCAGUAGGGAAUCUUCCGCAAAGGGCGAAAGCUUGACGGAGCAACGCCGCGUGAGUGAUGAAGGUCUUCGGAUCGUAAAACUCUGUUAUUAGGGAAGAACAAAUGUGUAAGUAACUAUGCACGUCUUGACGGUACCUAAUCAGAAAGCCACGGCUAACUACGUG